GUCCAGGGUAGCCUAGUGGUCAUGGCAUCUGCCCGGUAAGCGGAAGGUCGUGGGUUCGAUUCCCAUCCCUUGACC